rnacentral:rRNA from 1 species
GACGAACGCUGGCGGCGUGCUUAACACAUGCAAGUCGAACGGAAAGGCCCUGCUUGCAGGGUACUCGAGUGGCGAACGGGUGAGUAACACGUGGGUGAUCUGCCCUGCACUUCGGGAUAAGCCUGGGAAACUGGGUCUAAUACCGGAUAGGAGCCAUUUUUAGUGUGAUGGUUGGAAAGUUUUUUCGGUGUAGGAUGAGCUCGCGGCCUAUCAGCUUGUUGGUGGGGUAAUGGCCUACCAAGGCGGCGACGGGUAGCCGGCCUGAGAGGGUGGACGGCCACAUUGGGACUGAGAUACGGCCCAGACUCCUACGGGAGGCAGCAGUGGGGAAUAUUGCACAAUGGGCGCAAGCCUGAUGCAGCGACGCCGCGUGGGGGAUGCCGGCCUUCGGGUUGUAAACUCCUUUCGCUAGGGACGAAGCUUUUUGUGACGGUACCUAGAUAAGAAGCACCGGCUAACUACGUG